AGGGUUUGAUCAUGGCUCAGAACGUACGCUGGCGGCACGCCUAAUACAUGCAAGUCGAACGAAGUAGCAAUACUUAGUGGCAGACGGGUGAGUAACAUGUGGGUAUCUUCCCUUUGGUGAGGAAUAACACGAGGAAACUUGUGCUAAUACCUCAUAAGUCUUUACGGAGAAAGCUUUAUGCGCCAAUGGAUGAGCCCGCACUUGAUUAGUUUGUUGGUGAGGUAAUGGCUCACCAAGACUUUGAUCAAUAGCUGAUUUGAGAGGAUGAUCAGCCACAUUGGGACUGAGACACGGCCCAAACUCCUACGGGAGGCAGCAGUAGGGAAUCUUGCACAAUGGGGGAAACCCUGAUGCAGCGAUGCCGCGUGAGUGAAGAAGGCCUUUGGGUUGUAAAGCUCUUUCGUCGGGGAAGAAAAUGACUGUACCCGAAUAAGAAGGUCCGGCUAACUUCGUGCCAGCAGCCGCGGUAAUACGAAGGGACCUAGCGUAGUUCGGAAUUACUGGGCUUAAAGAGUUCGUAGGUUGUCAAAAAAGUUGGUGGUGAAAUCCCAGAGCUUAACUCUGGAACUGCCAUCAAAACUUUUUGGCUAGAGUUUGAUAGAGGAAAGCAGAAUUUCUAGUGUAGAGGUGAAAUUCGUAGAUAUUAGAAAGAAUACCCAAUUGCGAAGGCAGCUUUCUGGAUCAUUACUGACACUGAGGAACGAAAGCAUGGGUAGCGAAGAGGAUUAGAUACCCUCGUAGUCCAUGCCGUAAACGAUGUGUGUUAGACGUUGGAAAUUUAUUUUCAGUGUCGCAGCGAAAGCAAUAAACACACCGCCUGGGGAGUACGACCGCAAGGUUAAAACUCAAAUGAAUUGACGGGGACCCGCACAAGUAGUGGAGCAUGUGGUUUAAUUCGAAGAUACGCGCAGAACCUUACCAACACUUGACAUGUUCGUCGCGACUUUAAGAGAUUAAAGUUUUCGGUUCGGCCGGACGAAACACAGGUGCUGCAUGGCUGUCGUCAGCUCGUGUCGUGAGAUGUUGGGUUAAGUCCCGCAACGAGCGCAACCCUCACUUUUAGUUGCCAUCAUUUAGUUGGGCACUCUGAAAGAACUGCCAGUGAUAAGCUGGAGGAAGGUGGGGAUGACGUCAAGUCCUCAUGGCCCUUACGUGUUGGGCUACACACGUGCUACAAUGGCAUUUACAACAGGAAGCAAAACGGCGACGUUAAGCAAAUCCUAAAAAAAUGCCUCAGUUCGGAUUGUACUCUGCAACUCGAGUACAUGAAGCUGGAAUUACUAGUAAUCGCGGAUCAGCGCGCCGCGGUGAAUACGUUCCCGGGUCUUGUACACACCGCCCGUCACACCAUGGGAGUUGGUUCUACCUUAAGGCAAAGGUUAAAAACUUUGACCACGGUAUAGUCAGCGACUGGGGUGAAGUCGUAACAAGGUAACCG
rnacentral:rRNA from 1 species